UCGUGAGUCGCUGCUGGGCAAGAGCGACAACGGCGGACUCCGGUCACGCCCGGGAAGGGUGCGACGGGGUUUCACCAGAAAAAGGAA
rnacentral:ncRNA from 1 species